rfam:Cavia porcellus supercont2_28 genomic scaffold, whole genome shotgun sequence.
GCCCUUCAUGAUUGCAUGAGUGUGAUGAUUGGAUUUUCAUGCCACAUACAAGAGAUGUGGCUCCCACUAACUUUGUUACCAUGUUGCACAUUUCCCAUCUAAUA